rnacentral:rRNA from 1 species
CCCUUAGACGUUCUGGGCCGCACGCGCGCUACACUGAACAGUUCAACAAGUCUUAACCUUGGCCGAUAGGUCUGGGUAAUCUUUGAACGCUGUUCGUGAUUGGGAUAGACCUUUGCAAUUAUGGGUCUUCAACGAGGAAUUCCUAGUAAACGCAAGUCAUCAACUUGCAUUGAUUACGUCCCUGCCCUUUGUACACACCGCCCGUCGCACCUACCGAUUGAAUGGUCCGGUGAAGCCUCCGGAUUGGCGCGCACCUCGGUGCCGCCGAGAAGUUGGCUAAACCUUACCAUUUAGAGGAAGGUGAAGUCGUAACA